UUUCAGUGCUCCCUCUAGCACCAUUUUCCCCUCUUCUUUCAGGUCCAGCUUGUGCUCGUCGCUUCAUUACUACGCAAAUUCCGGAAUUGCGCUCUUGCCUUGGAGCGCAAUUAGUUUUACUUUUACCUCUCUCGAGUUACCUCGAGCAUCUUAGUCUCUCCGUUCAGCCCUGCACGUAAAAACGACAAACGAAUUGAAAGCACUCCCAGCCAAUAAGAUGGCUUCCCCAAACGUUUCGCCGCAGAAGCCUACGGUUAAAUGGCAACACCGCGAAUCCACGCUGAUCACAUCGAACACAGUGAGCUGGACGCGGAUAUGGAAACUCACCCGGCUCCUCUUACACACCGAAUACUGUUAAAAUUGCCAGAUCCCCCCCUCCCAUAGCUGUGCUCAUGUUAACCUAGAAUCGACGUUAUACCCUACUCCCUCUGCAUUUAACCAAAUUCAACCCAUCGAACAUCAAUUGUGACGAGUUGGAUGUAGCCUUGGGAACUCACCUGGAUCUUGUUGCACACCAGACACUCUUGUUUGCCAGAUUGCUCCCAUAGUGCUAUCCAUGUCAACCUAGUAUCGUCAGUAGACUCUGCCCGGCUGAAAGCAUCACAACCCAACCCUCUUUCUGUCUCUUAGGGGAGCAGCCUCUAUGACCACCUACCAGAUUGCAAUCUUCUCUUUACAGCUUUAUGAUUAUUUUGUGAUUCCUGAGUUUGAAUCGAUUUUCCCCGCACAGCACUCAAAAAAAUAUUUUAUCAUGUCUGAUAGGUUCAUCUCAUUGGACAAAGAGUAAUGCUAAUACAGUAUCACAUACAGCUUAUGGAGAUCAGAGAUGUCGGAGAACAUUUCAUUAAAAACUAUUGACUGCCUUUACACCAGCUGAUUGAGAAUUUAUCAAGUCAAUAUUAUUCAGUAUUAAAUGUAAACGGUGAGGAGGCCUAUGCUAUUAAUUUAAAACCAGACUGUAUCUUUCACUCAGUAUCAAAGCACCUGUGGCCGAAUGGACAACGCGUCUGCCUUGAACACCACCAUCACUCGCAAAGAAUAGGUUAUAUCCAACCGCAACCACGAUUUGAUACUUUCAUCCAAGGAGGAGACUAAGAAACCAUCAGCUGAUCAGAGACGCGGUAGAUUGUAAGAUUCCUAGGAAAACUUCUAGGAUCUUUAGCAGCCUGCAAUGCAAUACUUCAAUCAGGAAAGGAGGCUCCAUUUGUACGACAAUUUAUACAUCCAUAGGGACAGAACGGUUAAGAUCGAACCAUUUCCAUGUACAAAGAAUGCGGAGGGGGAGGGGGGCAAGUAGUCGAGAAAUUGCUUUCUUAUAUGUACCUAGGUCGUAGUGUUCGCGCAGGAUACUUAAAAAUGAUUUAAAGCACGAGAUCAUCUCCCAAAUAUUUUUUGAGCUUGGUUCAGUUGAACUUUGAAAACUCAGCGAAGCAUACUUCAACAUUCUUGAAGUAGUUAUUAAAGGAACGCACUCUUUCUCUGAAACAUAUGUGAACGCAUUAACAUCGCUCUACAAUUUUUUAGUAAAACAUACAAGUCGCUUUGAUAAAAAUCUGGCAAUUUUGU